UAGGGAACCUUCCACAAUGGACGCAAGUCUGAUGGAGCAACGCCGCGUGAGUGAAGAAGGCUUUCGGGUCGUAAAACUCUGUUAUUGAAGAAGAACGUGUGUGACAGUAACUGGUCAUGCAGUGACGGUAUUCAAUCAGAAAGUCACGGCUAACUACGUGCCAGCAGCCGCGGUAAUACGUAGGUGGCAAGCGUUGUCCGGAUUUAUUGGGCAUAAAGCGAGUGCAGGCGGUCUUUUAAGUCUGAUGUGAAAGCCUUCGGCUUAACCGAAGAAGGGCAUCGGAAACUGGG
rnacentral:rRNA from 1 species